GGAAGCAUGCCCGAGACCACAAGGAAUACUUUGAUAGAGUACACUACAGGGGUUAAACCCCCCUUACUUCCU
rnacentral:tRNA from 1 species